AUGUUCUUCCAUCUGCUGGUUCAUUCUCCAAAUGGCCACAACAUCCACAGCUAAGUGAUGUGAAGACAUGGGCCCAAGAACAGGUCUGGAGAUGCAGGAUAUGAUUAGGAAGGUGAUAGGAAGCCAGGUUCUCCAGGGAUUUGCACCUUGUAAGGGUCAGACUCAGUCACUGAAGGGUUUUGGAUGGCAAAUGAAGGGAUCAGAGGCGGGUUUGAGGAAAUGCCCUCAGCACAUGGUUUUUCUGUUUUAAUGUGUUAGAAGCUUGAGGACUUUAGCAUGAAAAGUACUGCCUGGCUGGGGUAGUUCAGCAGCCACUUCAGCAUGCUCAGCUGGGACUAAACGGAAGGAGCCCAUUUGCUGCUGGGGAAGCACCCCCAUCUCAGGCUCAUGAGUGGUCUUGUGUCAGUGCACUGGAAUUCCAUGUAGUAGAAGGGUUCUGCUGGAAAGAUCAAUUAAAAACUCAACAAACUAAUAAUAUGUGUUGGACACCUGUAGAAGGCAGGUCGGGUAGAAUUGUUCUGUUCAAGCACUGGGGCAAUGAUAGUCUCAGUGUGAAGUGAAAACAAAUGAUUUGUGGAGGGGGAGAUGGUCGGGAGGCCAGAGCUCACUGUGACGCGUCAGCCUGGAUAUUCAUGUCCUUAAUAUUCACCCCUGAGCAAAUGUUUGAAAGUGUGUUCAUUUCAACAGGUGCAAAUUCAGCACGCCAAGGAAGAAUCGCUUGCUGAUGAUCUCUUUAGAUAUAAUCCUAAUGCAAAAAGAAGAAGAUAACUGAAGGUUUUAAAAAGAAGCUGUGAGGAACGAUUUCUAGCAAACACUUCACGCUAACUGGGUUAUAUACAUUUAGUAUAUAGAAGAAAUUUAAGUCACAAAUAUUUUAUGGCCUAAGUUUGUUUAAUAAAAUGGACAAAACUCUGUUCCUUUCUUGUGUAA